rnacentral:misc_RNA from 1 species
UGAAUUGCGAUAAUUAAUGUGAAUUGCAUAAAUCUGUGAAUCAUCUAGUUUUUGAACGCACAUUGCAUCCUGUGAGGGAUAUGAGUGAUUGAGGAUUGGUCGUAGAUAAUAAUUUGAUUUGGGGAGUCGACAUAAUUGAUUGUGUCGUUCGCUGAAAUAUCAUAGAGUAUUAUGAGUAUUAUUCGGUGCGAUGUAAUAUUACAUUAUAUACACAUAUUAUACACAUAUUAUACACUUAUAUACACACAUACACACAAUCUCAGUCACUCAAGAGUACCCGCUGAACUUAA